rnacentral:lncRNA from 1 species
UUUUUUUGGGAAUCUCUAAGUGAUUUACUGAGGUGAGGAUGAGUAUACAGAGGCUUGCCAGGAGGAAAAAGCAGUGUUUAGAAACAAAUUUAUUUAAAAAGGAAGAUUUGGAACAGGUAUUAAAGUUUAUAAUUUAAAAUAAUUAUGAGCCUUGUGUUAUUUUGACAUAGUUAUUAGGUUUAUGCUGAUGCCUACUGUUGAUUAAAGUUCAAAUAACAAGAAACCAUUCUCUAAGUAUUACAAAAGAAAACUUGAAAGUUUUUUUUCUCAUUUUACUACAGAUAAGAUUGUAAUAGAAUGUCGUUUUAGUAUAAUUAUCUCUUCUAGUUCAACUCCGUCAGCAUUUCUAUUACUGACUUCAGUUUUAAGGGUCAUAACUCAUCCAUAAAAUUUGCUCUAUUGAAACCUGACACACAGUCUCCAGGGAAUUCUUUCCUUUAAAAGCAGAUUUUUAAAAUGAAUCAAAAGUUAGAUAGCUUAGGAGUUCCCCUGUGGUGCAGCAGGUUAAGGAUCAGGGAACUCCCUCCAGUGGUUAUCAUAAAUGGUAAGAUUUAAAGUUUUAUUGUUAGGUUCUUCCUUCAGAAUGGAGCUAAAAAGAAAUAGAAACCCAUGAGAGCCACAGAAACAUACAUGACAAUGCAGGGCAGAUUUCAUUUACUGUUAUUUUAAGUAUUCACCAGUCCAAAGAGUGCAAAAGUUUGGCAAAGUAAGCUUACUACAAUUUAUUUCAAUCAUCUGUUCCAUGUUUAAUAGCAUAUUUUUUCCCUUAGAACCUGGCUAUGAACCUAAAUUACUUAAGUUUAUCUUAUGCAUUAUGUCAGAUUCUAUUAGUUUACCCAGAUGGCCUCCUCCUAAUUUUCAGAAAUAGUUUCUGCCUUGGUCAGAGGCAUAGGGACUAAGUCACAAACAACUUCUGGAUAGACCAAAGCUUUGGGACUUAAACACAUCUUGUUCAGUCCAGAAAAUUAAUAGAUUGUUUUAUUUAAAAAAAAUAAGAUUUCUUCUUUAAAGAAAUCAUCUAUUAAAAUAUGUCUUUAUCUUAGAGUUUUGAAAAAGCCCUCUAAAUACCAUACACAGAUCAGUUCACACUGCCUAAUACUACUACAAUUUAAUUAUCCAGCACUUCUUAGAGUGGUAUCAAAUAACAUACUAUAGCUUUCAUAUGUAGUGGUGGGGAGGAGACAGAAAGAGAACCAAUGCUAGCCAAACAUCAUUUCCAAAUGAAAAACUGAGGUGGGCAGGCACUGACCCAAAUUAUAUAAUAAAUAAAAAGAAUGUGAGAAUUGGUAUGAUAUGUUGACUCUAUUUAUUCUUCUCAGCAAUCUCUUUGCAACCCAUGGUUUCAACAACCACAGGUAGAUGAGACUCCUAAAUGGAGAGCCCCUGGGCAGUCUCUCUCCUGACGUCUAGUCUAUAUCCCACUCAUGCUAAGCAUCACCGAUUAGAUGUCCUAUAAGCACUUCAAACUCAUCCUAACUUUAAUUCAACACUUUCCCCACUGGAAAAGUAUUCCUUCUCCUGUGUUCCACCUUGAAGAAUUGUUCCACCCACCUGGCCAACCAAAAUGUCUAAGCCUGGUAAUCACACUAGACUCCGUCUUCAACUCCAAAGAUUCCACUUUCGAAAUAAUUACAGUAUGUAUAUCCAUCUCCAUAGACUCAGUGCCAUUAUCUAAAUUUAGGCUCUUAUCACUUCUUAUUUAAAUUUCUGAAACUAGUUUCUAUUUGACUUCCCUACCACAAGUCUUACCC